rnacentral:rRNA from 1 species
UACAGAGGGUGCGAGCGUUGUUCGGCAUUAUUGGGCGUAAAGCGCUUGUAGGCGGCUUGUUAAGUCGCGUGUGAAAUCCCCAGGCUUAACCUGGGAAGUGCGCGCGAAACUGGCGAGCUUGAAUGCCGGAGAGGGUCGCGGAAUUCCCGGUGUAGAGGUGAAAUUCGUAGAUAUCGGGAGGAACACCAGUGGCGAAGGCGGCGACCUGGACGGACAUUGACGCUGAGACGCGAAAGCGUGGGGAGCAAACAGG